CUGAGCUCCAAGCAUCCUUGCAAGGGGACAAGUGGCAGCGCAGCACAACAUCCUGUCCCACGUUGGCAGUGACACGGAGGCUCGGUGCCACCACCGUGCUCUGGGCUGGGCAAUGAGAAGGGCACGGAGAGAUGGUGAGAUGGUGUCUGUGUUAAUGUGGGGGCAUGGAGCGGCACAGGGUGAGUUGGUGUGUGCUCCAUCCCAUGUAAAAGCAGUGGGGAGGGAUCAGGAGGGAGUGGGGAAGGAUUGCUGGGGGUGGGAGCCCACUCACACCGUGUGGUGGAGGUGAA
rnacentral:lncRNA from 1 species